rnacentral:rRNA from 1 species
AUUGAUUGAUGGUGCUUGCACCUGAUYGNUUUUGGUCGCCAACGAGUGGCGGACGGGUGAGUAACACGUAGGUAACCUGCCCAGAAGCGGGGGACAACAUUUGGAAACAGAUGCUAAUACCGCAUAACARCGUUGUUCGCAUGAACAACGCUUAAAAGAUGGCUUCUCGCUAUCACUUCUGGAUGGACCUGCGGUGCAUUAGCUUGUUGGUGGGGUAAYGGCCUACCAAGGCGAUGAUGCAUAGCCGAGUUGAGAGACUGAUCGGCCACAAUGGGACUGAGACACGGCCCAUACUCCUACGGGAGGCAGCAGUAGGGAAUCUUCCACAAUGGGCGCAAGCCUGAUGGAGCAACACCGCGUGAGUGAAGAAGGGUUUCGGCUCGUAAAGCUCUGUUGUUAAAGAAGAACACGUAUGAGAGUAACUGUUCAUACGUUGACGGUAUUUAACCAGAAAGUCACGGCUAACUACGUGCCAGCAGCCGCGGUAAUACGUAGGUGGCAAGCGUUAUCCGGAUUUAUUGGGCGUAAAGAGAGUGCAGGCGGUUUUCUAAGUCUGAUGUGAAAGCCUUCGGCUUAACCGGAGAAGUGCAUCGGAAACUGGAUAACUUGAGUGCAGAAGAGGGUAGUGGAACUCCAUGUGUAGCGGUGGAAUGCGUAGAUAUAUGGAAGAACACCAGUGGCGAAGGCGGCUACCUGGUCUGCAACUGACGCUGAGACUCGAAAGCAUGGGUAGCGAACAGGAUUAGAUACCCUGGUAGUCCAUGCCGUAAACGAUGAGUGCUAGGUGUUGGAGGGUUUCCGCCCUUCAGUGCCGGAGCUAACGCAUUAAGCACUCCGCCUGGGGAGUACGACCGCAAGGUUGAAACUCAAAGGAAUUGACGGGGGCCCGCACAAGCGGUGGAGCAUGUGGUUUAAUUCGAAGCUACGCGAAGAACCUUACCAGGUCUUGACAUCUUGCGCCAACCCUAGAGAUAGGGCGUUUCCUUCGGGAACGCAAUGACAGGUGGUGCAUGGUCGUCGUCAGCUCGUGUCGUGAGAUGUUGGGUUAAGUCCCGCAACGAGCGCAACCCUUGUUACUAGUUGCCAGCAUUAAGUUGGGCACUCUAGUGAGACUGCCGGUGACAAACCGGAGGAAGGUGGGGACGACGUCAGAUCAUCAUGCCCCUUAUGACCUGGGCUACACACGUGCUACAAUGGACGGUACAACGAGUCGCGAACUCGCGAGGGCAAGCAAAUCUCUUAAAACCGUUCUCAGUUCGGACUGCAGGCUGCAACUCGCCUGCACGAAGUCGGAAUCGCUAGUAAUCGCGGAUCAGCAUGCCGCGGUGAANACGUUCCCGGGCCUUGUACACACNGCCCGUCACNCCANGAGAGUUUGUAACACCCAAAGUCGGURGAGU